rnacentral:rRNA from 1 species
UAGAGUUUUAUCCUGGCUCAGAUUGAACGCUGGCGGCAGGCCUAACACAUGCAAGUCGAACGGUAACAGGAAGCAGCUUGCUGCUUCGCUGACGAGUGGCGGACGGGUGAGUAAUGUCUGGGAAACUGCCUGAUGGAGGGGGAUAACUACUGGAAACGGUAGCUAAUACCGCAUAACGUCGCAAGACCAAAGAGGGGGACCUUCGGGCCUCUUGCCAUCGGAUGUGCCCAGAUGGGAUUAGCUAGUAGGUGGGGUAACGGCUCACCUAGGCGACGAUCCCUAGCUGGUCUGAGAGGAUGACCAGCCACACUGGAACUGAGACACGGUCCAGACUCCUACGGGAGGCAGCAGUGGGGAAUAUUGCACAAUGGGCGCAAGCCUGAUGCAGCCAUGCCGCGUGUAUGAAGAAGGCCUUCGGGUUGUAAAGUACUUUCAGCGGGGAGGAAGGCGAUAAGGUUAAUAACCUUGUCGAUUGACGUUACCCGCAGAAGAAGCACCGGCUAACUCCGUGCCAGCAGCCGCGGUAAUACGGAGGGUGCAAGCGUUAAUCGGAAUUACUGGGCGUAAAGCGCACGCAGGCGGUCUGUCAAGUCGGAUGUGAAAUCCCCGGGCUCAACCUGGGAACUGCAUUCGAAACUGGCAGGCUAGAGUCUUGUAGAGGGGGGUAGAAUUCCAGGUGUAGCGGUGAAAUGCGUAGAGAUCGGAGGAAUACCGGUGGCGAAGGCGGCCCCCGGACAAAGACGACGUCAGGUGCGAAAGCUGAGUACCUU